UGGGUAUUUAUUUUUUCUAUUUAUAAAAAAUUACAGUAAGAAGGCAGUAUAAAUUGAACUGACGAUUUGACUAGCGAACACUUUUUCCAACUAGCAGGAAAUAGACAGGGUUCCCCGAUUGCUGAGAACUGAACAACAAAUGGUACUGCAAAAACAUAGCAAAGACGUCGUAUUACUAGCGAGAAAGAACAUUGUAGAAGUAAUUGCAACAAUAUUUCAAUACACAGUCACACAAAAUGUCUUGGGGAAAUUCUUGGGGAAACAGCGGAUCUGCAAGCAGCAAUUGGGGAGCCAGCAGUUGGGGAAGUUCCGUCAAUACAAGUUCUGACCCCAAUGGUCAGCAUAUAUCUGGAUGUAGCGCAUAUAGUAGCUCUUGGGGAAACAAACAUCACUUUGACGAUAAAUGUCCCGGAUGUCGACGUGACAGUUCACUAGGAUCAUGGGGGAGAAAUAAUGUCAGCUCAAAUGGUGCGAUGACCUUAUUAACAUUAUUUACAGGGGUGAAAGUUGCAAAAAAAAGUCUUUGGGACUGAAUAUUAUCCGAGUGCUUGCUAUCGGGUGCCGAUAUCAAAGGGAGAGAAACUAUGUUUUUACAACAUUAUACAUGUACUCAGAGAGUUGACUUCCUUUGAAAUUCGCUUCAUAGCAAAUGUACAUGUAAAACAAUAGGAGAACUGAUUCUUGUUUCGGGUAUCUUUAUUUUGCCAAGGAGAUUUAUUUGGACGAUAAUGUGUUCUUAUUUAUUUUUUUUACGAUGUAUCAGUAUCUAUUUAAUUCAUGACAUAAACUUUUACAAUGUGUGCAAUAUUUUAGCUUAGUCAUUUUAUACAUUAUACAAAACUUUGUUAUUAAAUAAAAAAAAGAA